CACACCACUUUAGAUUCACCCUUCACCAGUUUUGGGUACUGAUCUAAACGAGAAUCUUCCUGAACCAACUCCUCAACCUACAAGAAAGUAAAGGCAAUCACAAACUCUUUAAACUUGUUAGGCUUAAUGAUUAAUGCCGCUUAGGUAUGCAACUAUCAAAACAAAGCUUCAAAAAAAUGCGAAAAAAGUUGCACAUGCAAUAAUUACAUUUAAGUGGAGAUGCCAGUGUUUGACCCAACAGUUGGCUUGAACCAGCCUGUACUUAACUGAACCACACAUUAAGGAAUAUAUGCUGGGAAAAACAGGCAAAAGCCCAUGAUGCAAAGUACUAAGUAGAGAUAUUAUCGGCAAACAAUGGCUAUUUGAUUGAUUACAAGUCCUUCUCAUCUUAAGACGAAUAAGCAAGGCCCUGUAGAAGUUCUAGAACAAGCUGGAAUGUUGUAUGCUCAUACCAAUGUCUUUUUGUUCUAGAUCCCAUUUUUUAAUUUCUAUCAUAUGUUCAGAAACAAAUUAUUUGCAAUUUGGGUCCCUUGUGUUUUCACUAUUGGAUAAUCCAAACCAAACCAAACCGAGCCUUACGUCCCAAUCACUUGGGGUCGGCUAUUCACUAUUGGAUAAUCCAACUUUUAAAAACCAUCUUACCAUGUUGAGGGUUUUCUAGUUCCUGUGCAAGAAGAAUUGAGAAUCGAACUAAACAUAUGUCUUGAUUAAAGAAUAGAUCUAAAACUGUUCCAUAGAUUAGAUACAGAACUAAAGCAUUUUCAUUACCAUAACAUGAACCUCCUAAGUGCGCUUGAUCUUGUAGCUUGGUGGCUAAAGUUAAAGAGGGUUCGACCAAGCGGUUUGCCCCUUACCUCUUGAGGGACUUGCAUCUUGAUUAGUCUUAAAGAGUGUGCUAUUUCAUAUUCUCAUUAUUAACUGAGCAGGGCUAGUGUUUUUACAAGAAAUCUCUACCCAACCUUCCUGCAAGAGCUCUUUUCUUAACAUCAAACGUGUUGGUGCUAGAUAGAAAUGAUAAUUCCAACAAUUUCUUUGUUCUCAACGCCUCUGAAUUUCUAGGAAUGAGUCACUUCAACAGCCUUCGAUGGUUAUACGAGUAUCCAAAAUACGAACGAGAUGGACGUUUGUUGUCCCAACCAUUCUUGUUAAUCCCGAGCCCGAUAAGUAUGGGGGUAAUUUAUAACAAAGUUCCAUUUACUCUAUACUGAUCUGCUUCCAUUUCCACUUUCCGUAAGUGAGCCCGGGCUUUUUCUAGUUGUUCAAUGACCCCCCCGCGUAGUUCUUCUGAAUUUCGAAUAGUAUUGAAGAUCCUCUGUUUUCGAUUAUCUAAUAAAUCGCUAAAGCUUGUUUCUUUUUCUUACCUAGAAAAAUUGAAGCCAUAGGGCUCUAUCCAUUUAUUCAUUCAACCCAACUAAAAAUGGAAUUUCUUUUGUGCCUUAAUUGGCAAUACUACCAGUUAGCACUAGCCCCCAAAGAAGGUGUAAGCCCCUCAAAGGCUCCAAAGGCAGCUUGCUGGCCUUUGCACCAUUUGGGCAUGUGCCCUCAUAUAAUGGUGCUCCUCCCACCUCUGUCUCUUUACAUGCAAGCUAUUGCAUCUACAAGGAGACAGGAGACUUGAUUUCCAUCAAUCCUGCCCUCAAAUGUCUCUCUUUCCCGCUCUUAGAUGGCCUUUCGUCUCGCACAACCACCCUCCAGCGACUCAAGCACUAUCUUAGUGACCACCAUAGCUCCAAAAAUAAACUUAUUCAUUAGCCAAUUCAUUCUCCAUUGUCAACUAUAUCCAAACUCACUAAGGUAUCUCUUUCUCAAUGAGUUUGUCUUAUGAAAGAUUUUUUCGAUGGCAACCUGAUGCAGGAUUAGAAAGGGGAAGAAAGGUAGUGCACAAAUGGGCCACAGACCUCACUCAAGGCCACAACCUUAAACUCAAUUCUCAUUAAUCAAACUGCCAAUAAUACAUCAAAGAAUCUCUUAUUUAUUAUAUAAAAUCAAAAUCUUAACAGGAUAGAAUUAGAAUCCUAGUAAAACCAGAAAAAGUGUACUCAUAACAAAACAUAUCAUAACUAGUUUCUAAUCAUGAUCUUAUCUUACAUUAUCGUAACUAAAUACUUACCAAGAGUACCCUACUAAAUCAUAAGAGCGACAACAACAACAAUAAUGCCGAUUAUGGUAAUAAUAAUAACAAAAACGUUCUUUGUGCCUUGGGGAUGAAUAGAGUCUUUGGUGACUGAACAGGGCUACAUGACCAGUAAUUCAGUCAUUUGUGAAGAAGAAGAAGAAUUGAGGAAUCUCUCCUAGAAUUCCUUAAGCUUCAUCCUAUUGAGGUUAACUAUAGCACACGUACACAAUCCAUGUGCUCAUGAACUCAAUUCUUCAUACAUAAAUAUCGAACCAGAUACUCAUAUAGGGUACUGUAGUUCUCCAGUCCAACUUCCACUAAAAGUCCAACUU